UCAGGUAUACUAAAAUGUGUCAGAUCAAUAUUGUUCACCCUUAAGUUUAGGUCAAAGUUGUUCUUUCCUUUUUAUGGUAAGUUGCAGGUUCCAUGCCUGACAAGAAAAAUAAAAAAUAACUUGCAGGUUCCAUUUACUUGAAAUUUGUAUAGCAGUGAUAGUGUCGGUUCUUUGUUGUAUAGUAUUCUCUAAUAAACAUGUGUAAAAUGAUCACAUAAUAUCUUGCUUGACAUGUACCUUACCAUUGUAGAUUGCUCCUGCUGAAUUAGAGGCCAUAUUAAUCACUCACCCAGAAGUAGCUGAUGUUGCAGUGACAGCGUAAGUGGAACCACUUCUUUUGCUAAUAUAAUUCUUUUUGAUGAAAUGUAGUUGGAUUCUUACUGAUGACACCUGUAUUGAAAAACAACACAACAUUUCGUACUAACAUUAAUGAAAGAACUUCACCGAGGCAAAAUUGUGUUAAAUUAUAGAGUGGUCCACACCUGUAUUGGAAAACAACAUAUUUGAAUGUGUGAAUAAUUCAAGAUAAAUGCCAUACAAUUAUGCAGAGCCAAAGAUGAAGUUACUGGAGAAAUACCUGUAGCAUUUGUUGUGAAAAGGCAUGGAUCUGGAAGCAGGAUUUCUGAAGCAGAGUUAAUAGAUUACACUGCCAAGCAGGUUCGGAUAAGUUUCAG
rnacentral:lncRNA from 1 species